GUGGGGAAUAUUGCACAAUGGGGGAAACCCUGAUGCAGCGACGCCGCGUGAGCGAAGAAGUAUUUCGGUAUGUAAAGCUCUAUCAGCAGGGAAGAAGAAUGACGGUACCUGACUAAGAAGCACCGGCUAAAUACGUGCCAGCAGCCGCGGUAAUACGUAUGGUGCAAGCGUUAUCCGGAUUUACUGGGUGUAAAGGGAGCGCAGGCGGUGCGGCAAGUCUGAUGUGAAAGCCCGGGGCUCAACCCCGGUACUGCAUUGGAAACUGUCGUACUAGAGUGUCGGAGGGGUAAGUGGAAUUCCUAGUGUAGCGGUGAAAUGCGUAGAUAUUAGGAGGAACACCAGUGGCGAAGGCGGCUGUCUGGUCUGCAACUGACGCUGAGGCUCGAAAGCAUGGGUAGCGAACAGGAUUAGAAACCCCAGUAGUCC
rnacentral:rRNA from 1 species